GAUGAACGCUGGCGGCGUGCCUAAUACAUGCAAGUCGAACGCACAGCGAAAGGUGCUUGCACCUUUCAAGUGAGUGGCGAACGGGUGAGUAACACGUGGACAACCUGCCUCAAGGCUGGGGAUAACAUUUGGAAACAGAUGCUAAUACCGAAUAAAACUCAGUGUCGCAUGACACAAAGUUAAAAGGCGCUUUGGCGUCACCUAGAGAUGGAUCCGCGGUGCAUUAGUUAGUUGGUGGGGUAAAGGCCUACCAAGACAAUGAUGCAUAGCCGAGUUGAGAGACUGAUCGGCCACAUUGGGACUGAGACACGGCCCAAACUCCUACGGGAGGCUGCAGUAGGGAAUCUUCCACAAUGGGCGAAAGCCUGAUGGAGCAACGCCGCGUGUGUGAUGAAGGCUUUCGGGUCGUAAAGCACUGUUGUAUGGGAAGAACAGCUAGAAUAGGGAAUGAUUUUAGUUUGACGGUACCAUACCAGAAAGGGACGGCUAAAUACGUGCCAGCCGCCGCGGUAA
rnacentral:rRNA from 1 species